rfam:Staphylococcus sp. HGB0015 genomic scaffold aczIz-supercont1.1, whole genome shotgun sequence.
AUAUUCUUUCGGGGCUGGGUGAAAUUCCCAACCGGCAGUAAAUUAAAGCCUGCGACCCAUAUUGCAAAGCGAUAUGGCUGAUCUAGUGAGAAUCUAGAGCCGACAGUUAGAGUCUGGAUGGGAGGAAGAAUAG